AUACGAAAUUUUAAAUUUUUAUACUUUCAAAUUUUAAAGUUAUAAAUAUCAAAUUUUAUAUUUUAUAUUUUAAAUUCUAAAUUUCAAUUUUAACUCAUAAUAUUUAUUUCUAAAUUAUAAACUUCAAAUUUUAAAAUUUUAAAAUUUUAAAUCUCUAAAUUCUAUAAAAUUAAUUAAUUAAUUUACUAUAUUUAAGGAGGAUUUUGGGGAACCAAAGGGUGACACGUGUCCCCCCAAACCCUCCUUUACUCGCUCUUUCCCUCUAUAUAUAUAAUAAAAAUAUAUAUAAUACGAAAUUUUAAAUUUUGAUACUUUCAAAUUUUAAAGUUAUAAAUUUCAAAUUUUAUAUUUUAUAUUUUUAAUUCUAAAUUUUAAUUCUAACUCAUAAUAUUUAUUUCCAAAUUUUAAACUUCAAAUUUUAAAAUUUUAAAAUUUUAAAUCUCUAAACUCUAUGAAAUUAAUUACUUAAUUUUAUUCAUUAUUAAUUAAAUAUAUUAUAUUUAAUUAAUUUUAUUAAUAAUAUGCGUAAUAAAUUGCAUAAUAAAAUCAAACCUAAUAGAUGCAAUUUAAAUCACGUAAAAUAUCGUUANAAUAUAUUAUAUUUAAUUAAUUUUAUUAAUAAUAUGCGUAAUAAAUUGAAUAAUAAAAUCAAACCUGAUAGAUGCAAUUUAAAUCACAUAAAAUAUCGUUAUAUAAAAAAAUACAAAAUUUAAAUUUCAAGACUAAAAUUUCAGAAAUAUAGUGUAUAUGUGUAUAUAUAUAAUUAAGUUUCUUAAACAAGUUCUUCUACAAUUUUAUUUUUCUUCUAUUUAUUAAUUUUUUAAAAAUUAUUUUGAUAGAUUUAUCUCAAAUUCUUUUCAUAUAAAUUUUUAUAAAAUAAAUUGUUGUAUAAAUUUCUUUUGCGCAUAUACCAAUUUUAAUGACUUUUAUUUAAAUAAAUUUAACUAUUAAAUUAUUUUUAUCUAAAUUUUAUUUAAUUAAUAAUUAGACUUAUAAAACAAUAUAAAAAUAUUAAAAAAAUAAAAUUUAUUAUAAAAUAUUUUUACAUCCGCAGCAUCGCGCGAGUAUUUCACUAGUAUAUAUAUUAUUACCAUGAUCAUA
rnacentral:lncRNA from 1 species